rnacentral:tRNA from 1 species
UAGGCCGCGCACCGGGUGCAGUCCGAACUCCAAAUCCGGACGAGCAGGGUUCGACUCCCUGGCGGCCUGUCC